CGGAGGAGAGAGCGCAGUUGAAAGGUGCGCCGCCUGGAUUGUGAGAGGUGCGGUGGGAUCCUUCCCUCGCACCCUUCCGACAGCUCUUCUUUUGUAUGUUUGUUUGUUUGUUCUAGUUUCGUUAAUGUCAUCAGGGGCCGUUGGAGAGUAAUGUCCGAUGUGAAGCGGGCUUCGCACCAUCGAGUGCAGUGAGCGGCUGCACGUUUGCCAUUGGAAGCGACGCCGCGGAACAGUCGGAAUGAUGCGGUUGCGUUGCUGGAAGCUUUCUACCACUACAGCUGUACAUACUCCUAGCUGACCUCCAACUUGGAGCCGGCAAAGCAUGUGAGAAACAAAAGUUACGAAUAGCUGGCUAAAAUAACUGUCCAGAGAAGGUGUUGUCUAUUUGUGUGAGGUGCUAGCAAGGUAACUUUUAUUUUAUUGUCAUUGAUAUCUAAA